UCCCAGAACAUUGAUUUUUGUGACCACAGUUACAAUCCGCCUCCAGAGAGCCUGUUCUGCACCAGACCAGUGGAGCCAGACUGCAGCUAGAGCCCAUCAUCAUCCUCAUCUGGUUGUAAGUAGGUAAUCUAGUAUAUUAUUCGUGGCACUAAACUCUAAUUUACCUCACAUUAAAGAAACACUAUAGUCCCCAGAACCACUUC